GUACGGGGAGUCCAUCCAUGGUGGUAGCUUGCGUCUUUAGCAACUCUGGUCGCCGGAUCAAACGAGUUUUUCCUCAUGUGGAUCAGUAGGUUUUUUGGUCAAAUCUAUGGCUUUUGUGGCCAUUGAAGACUGGGUUUGGUCGGUGAAAGAUGGGUUUUGUUUGGGUCAAGCACUGGCACCAGUAGUGACCUGACGACGACGAUCGAUCGAUAUCGGACAGUCGAGCAUCACAUGAGAGAAAAAGAAAGAUAUAUUUAGGUUUUUUUCCUCUUUGUCAUGAAUCCCGAGAAGUACAUGAGGAGCGUAUCAUGAAACUGGUAGUCUUUCAGCUAAAGGGAGCACAACUGUUUGGUGAGAUCGAUUGGAGGUUAAUCGGAAGAGUCAAGAAAAGGCUCAUUUGAGGGUAUUGGCGCAAGAUGAAAUAAUUGAUGAUGGGAAGAUUCCUACCUCCGGAUUACGAGCAGUACCUAUUUCAGCUAUACUAGAACUGUUAUCAAGGUAAUUGACAAGUCUUUGAGUAUACUUCUAAAUUUAAUAGAUUGUUUACGCACAAGAACCUAAUAGAGACUGAUAUGCAGAGAGUAGCGUGGUAUUUGAAUGGCUUGACACCAUCGGUUUGGGAGAAGAUUGGGUUGCAAGUGGUGUGGUCUAUUAGCCUAGCCAUAAAGGUUGAGUUGAUGGGGCACAAUUUGGAAAACCAGAGUUAAAGCGUAACACUCUAAAGUCCUCUUACUCUCUAUACAAGGGAAAGUGUUCACAAACACCAAGGUAGCCAGUUAAUGUGAUAGAUCAUUAGGAUGAAGAGGAAGAGCAUGGGGCUGUGGAAGAAGAGGAGUACGUAGAUGUCGAGUUUGCAGGUGAACAGAUAAACUAUGUAGUGUGGAGGAUCCUAUUAUCGACCAAACAGGAGGAUCAUUCUCAGCUCCACAAUAUCUUCCAUUCGCAUUAUGCGAUUGAUAAGAAGGUUUGUGACCUUACCAUUAACAAUGGUAGCUGUAACAAUUUUAUGGCCAGAAAGCUUGUCGAGCAUCUGAAAUUACCUACAAUGAAGCAUCCUUAUCCUACACAAUUGGGGGAAUAUAGAAGGGUCCAACAAUGCAGGUGAAAAAUGUUUACCACAUCCCCAUUUCCAUAGAUAAGCAAUAUGGAGAUGAGAUAAUAUGUGAUGUUGUAGAUAUGGAUAUAAGUUAUGUGCUCUUAAGCAGACCUUGAUGUUUGAUGCGAAUAUCACCUACAAGGGCAGAGACAAUAUUUAUUUAUUCAAAUGAGGUGAUCACAAGGUUACAAUGGUUCCUUCUAAGAAGCAUACUAUACCAGUUUUCAAGGCUUCUAAAGUGGAAGGGAAAUCAUUCCUAACCAUUGCUUGUUCUGAGCAUGUCAUUGUAGCAGAUUAUAAGAAUAUUGGCAAGAUGCAUGCUUUGGUUGUGAAGGCACUGGUAGUCAUCAAAAUAGACUAUGAGGAGAAGAAUACAUAUUUUCAAGAAGCGAUUCAACCACUCUUAUCUGAAUUCAAUGACCUCUUUGUUGGUGACUUGUCGGAUAGCAUUCCACCUAUGAGGCCUAUAGCACCAAAUUGACUUCAUUCCAAGAUCAAGUUUUCCAAACUUGCCUCACUACAGGAUGAGUCCGAAGGAGAAUGACACUCUUAAGGAGAAAGUUGGAAAAUUGCUGCGAAAAGGGUUUAUAAGAGAGUAUGAGGUCUUUUUUUUGUCCUAGUGUUAUUGAUGCCCAAGAUAGAUGGUAAUUGGAAAUUGAAUCACGGUUAAGUAUCAUUUUCCUAUUCUGCAACCAAAUGACAUACUUGAUCAACUAUGGAGGUCGAAGAUGAUUUCAAAAACUAAUCUUUAUAGUGGGUACCAUCAUAUUCAAAUAUGCAAGGAAAAUGAGAGGAAAAAAACUUUUAACACCCAUAAUGGUUAAUAUGAGUGGAUUGUCAUGCCAUUCAUCCUCUCUAAUGCUCCUAGUACGUUCAUGUGGGUCAUUAAUCAGGUAUUGAAACAUUUUGUAACCAAGUUUGUGGUUGCUUAUUUUGAUGAUAUUCUGAUUUAUAGCAA